rnacentral:rRNA from 1 species
AUUGAACGCUGGCGGCAUGCCUUACACAUGCAAGUCGAACGGUAACAGGUUAAGCUGACGAGUGGCGAACGGGUGAGUAAUGCAUCGGAACGUGCCCAGUCGUGGGGGAUAACGCAGCGAAAGCUGCGCUAAUACCGCAUACGAUCUAUGGAUGAAAGCGGGGGACCGUAAGGCCUCGCGCGAUUGGAGCGGCCGAUGUCAGAUUAGGUAGUUGGUGGGGUAAAGGCUCACCAAGCCAACGAUCUGUAGCUGGUCUGAGAGGACGACCAGCCACACUGGGACUGAGACACGGCCCAGACUCCUACGGGAGGCAGCAGUGGGGAAUUUUGGACAAUGGGCGCAAGCCUGAUCCAGCAAUGCCGCGUGCAGGAAGAAGGCCUUCGGGUUGUAAACUGCUUUUGUACGGAACGAAACGGUCCUGGUUAAUACCCGGGGCUAAUGACGGUACCGUAAGAAUAAGCACCGGCUAACUACGUGCCAGCAGCCGCCGCCGUAA